rnacentral:rRNA from 1 species
UACGAAGGGGGCUAGCGUUGUUCGGAAUUACUGGGCGUAAAGCGCACGUAGGCGGAUACUUAAGUCAGGGGUGAAAUCCCGGGGCUCAACCCCGGAACUGCCUUUGAUACUGGGUAUCUCGAGUCCGGAAGAGGUGAGUGGAAUUCCGAGUGUAGAGGUGAAAUUCGUAGAUAUUCGGAGGAAACACCAGUGGCGAAGGCGGCUCACUGGUCCGGUACUGACGCUGAGACGCGAAAGCGUGGGGAGCGAACAGG